AUUGAACGCUGGCGGCGUGCUUUACACAUGCAAGUCGAACGGCAGCGCGGGCUUCGGCCUGGCGGCGAGUGGCGAACGGGUGAGUAAUGCAUCGGAACGUGCCCAGUAGUGGGGGAUAGCCCGGCGAAAGCCGGAUUAAUACCGCAUACGACCUGAGGGUGAAAGCGGGGGACCGAAAGGCCUCGCGCUAUUGGAGCGGCCGAUGUCGGAUUAGCUAGUUGGUGGGGUAAAGGCUUACCAAGGCGACGAUCCGUAGCUGGUCUGAGAGGACGACCAGCCACACUGGGACUGAGACACGGCCCAGACUCCUACGGGAGGCAGCAGUGGGGAAUUUUGGACAAUGGGGGCAACCCUGAUCCAGCCAUGCCGCGUGCGGGAAGAAGGCCUUCGGGUUGUAAACCGCUUUUGUUCGGGAAGAAAUCCUCUGGGCUAAUACCCCGGGGGGAUGGCGGUACCGGAAGAAUAAGCACCGGCUAACUACGUG
rnacentral:rRNA from 1 species